rnacentral:rRNA from 1 species
GAUUAACGCUAGCGGCAGGCAUAAUACAUGCAAGUUGAACGGCAGCACAGGUAGCAAUACUGGGUGGCGAGUGGCGCACGGGUGCGUAACACGUAUGAAACCUACCCUAUACAGGCGAAUAACCUUUAGAAAUGAGGGCUAAUAAGCCGUAGUAUUACAGAUGGGCAUCUAUUUGUAAUUAAAGAUUUAUCGGUAUAGGAUGGGCAUGCGUCCCAUUAGUUAGUUGGUAAGGUAACGGCUUACCAAGACGAUGAUGGGUAGGGGAUCUGAGAGGACUUACCCCCACACUGGUACUGAGACACGGACCAGACUCCUACGGGAGGCAGCAGUAAGGAAUAUUGGGCAAUGGCCGCGAGGCUGACCCAGCCAUGCCGCGUGCAGGAAGACGGCCUUAUGGGUUGUAAACUGCUUUUAUACGGGAAUAAUAGAGUGUACGCGUACAUUUAUGCAAGUAUCGUAUGAAUAAGCAUCGGCUAACUCCGUG